GGUGUUGGUUUGCAGGUGAAUCAUUUUCUUCUUCCCUUCCUAUGAAGUUACGCGGGUAAAACACAGAUGUUGGCGGGAUCCAAUAAUCAGACCUACAACACGAGAUGAGGAUGAAGAUGAAGAUGACGAUGACGAUGAAGAUGAGGAUGAAGAUGAGGAUGAAGGUGCGAGCUGGACCGGACAGCUGCUGUAAAAACAACAGGAAGUCAAUAUCAACACGAUAGAGAGACGUGGAGGAAACUGAGGGAUAAUGCAGGAGGAGAUGGAGUGAGAAUCGGCAGAUAUCUUCAGAUCUGAAGGUGGGUGGUUUUCCUUGGACCAGCUCGUCUGCUUAUUUUGGGUUGCGGAAGCGUUGGGGGCUGAGGACUUGGCUCUGUGCCCUCCCAAGACCUCACAACCUUCGUCUUCCCCCAUCGAGGUAGCCUGGACGAAGCCGGCAGCAACAUUACAUGGUUCGACACCGCUGAAAUACGAGAGGAGAGGAAAGAACACGUUAAAGGGAAUGUCUCUGAUUACUCUGAAAUAAAAGAUAUAACAACCGGUCUGCAGAAAUAUAAAGUUGUUUAUUAUAAUGUGUAUGUAUUUAAGGCUAUGACCUAUUUUAAUUUAAAAUCUUAAGUAUGGUUCUGUAUUGUCAACAUUGACAACUUUUUUUUUACUUAUGCAAAGGAUGUAAUGUUUUCCAUGCUGUUUGUAUUUUUGGCUGUUAACAGGAUUAUCUAAUUAUUUUACUUUAAAAUUUAUUUUUGGGACAUAUUCUAGGAUUUCUCAAGAGAAUAAUUAACGGAUCCUUUUUGACAGUCGGGCUGAUUUGGAGAACGGAUAGUGUGUGAAAUUUGGUCCAGCUUGAUUGAAUUUGAGUUUGGCCUUGCUGGAGUUAUGCGCUUUACUGAUUCUACUCGUUUGUGUGAUUAUCUAAAAGGUCCUAAACAUCCUUGUUUACACUACAAAAUAAAAUAUCGAUUUGGUGGUCAUGAAAAAAAUACGGCAAGAUAUUGUUGUUAUUUAAAGAUGCAAACUCUGGGUGUCCGUUUCACCAGCAUUACAGAGAAGAAAGCAAAUAUCUGAGAUCCAGGCUAAGUUUGACAGUUUACCACCAACAGGCAGAGGACAAGCAUUAAACCCUGGCACCAUUUGAAAAACACAAUAUAUUAUUAUAAGUUGAAAAGAAUAAAUAUAUUUUGAAACAUUCAUGUAAACAAUAUCACAGUGUUCAGUCUGUCUGAGCUGUACAGUAAAACUAUGCCCUGGACCACCAGCAGAUGGCAGUUAAGCCCACCUCCCCCAAGCAAGUGUGCACACACCAGCAGACCACUGUAAAUUUCUCACGGUUCCUCCGUGUCUGGAGACAUUAUUGCGGCAAAAUUGCCGUAUCGGAAAACAAGAGACUCUACUUUUAUUAACGAUGUUACAGCUGAGCAUUCUUAACUUUCAUUUCCAAAGGUUAGAACAAUCAGUUAUAAGGGAGAAGACUGUGAUUAUCCAUCUUUCAUCUGCCUUCAGAGCCUCUUUAUCUUUUAUUGUGAAUCCUAUUUCUCCUCUUUUAACUUGGUAUUCGAAACGCAACAGUGUCCUUGAAAGCCGCACUGUACGUCAGUAACCAGGCAACCUUUUCCUCGCUCAUGCAUUUGUGUGCAAUUAAAUCAGCAAGCUCGCAUCAACAGCAUUCAGUGUAUUUAAACAUCAAGGUUAGAGGAGCACAUGGGAGCAGCGCGUUCAGCCCAAACUUCACACAGCGUUCUGCUCUACAGGCUGCUGCACACAGGAAGUUACAUUCAUUUAGCAUCUUGUCUCUUUAGCAGAGAUGGUAAGAGAAGAUGAUAACAACUGUAAAAUACAACCAUUAAAAUCUGCAGCUACACAAACUCACUUGGCGGAUUGGAACUGUUUGAAUUAGUCAAAGAUAAACAGUACCAUCAAUUUGAGGAUUAACUGAGAUACAUUUCAGAUUCAGGUUUUUU